GACAGAGGGUGCAAACGUUGUUCGGAAUUACUGGGCAUAAAGCGCACGUAGGUGGUCCGCUAAGUCGCGUGUGAAAUCCCCCGGCUCAACCGGGGAAAUGCGCGUGAUACUGGCGGGCUUGAGAUCGGGAGGGGUGAAUGGAACUCCAGGUGGAGCGGUGAAAUGCGUAGAUAUCUGGAGGAACACCGGUGGCGAAAGCGGUUCACUGGCCCGACACUGACACUGAGGCGCGAAAGCUAGGGUAGCAAACGGG
rnacentral:rRNA from 1 species